rnacentral:rRNA from 1 species
CGAGUGGCGAACGGGUGAGUAACGCGUGAGGAACCUGCCUCAAAGAGGGGGACAACAGUUGGAAACGACUGCUAAUACCGCAUAAGCCCACGGGUCGGCAUCGACCAGAGGGAAAAGGAGCAAUCCGCUUUGAGAUGGCCUCGCGUCCGAUUAGCUAGUUGGUGAGGUAAUGGCCCACCAAGGCAACGAUCGGUAGCCGGACUGAGAGGUUGAACGGCCACAUUGGGACUAAGACACGGCCCAGACUCCUACGGGAGGCAGCAUG